UGCUUAACACAUGCAAGUCGAACGAGGUCUUCGGAACCUAGUGGCGGACGGGUGAGUAACACGUGAGAAUCUGGCUUCAGGACGGGGACAACAAGGGGAAACCCUUGCUAAUACCGGAUAGCUCUAGAAGGAAUGAAGAGUCUUCCGGCGACCGUGAUUUAGGCCAUGUUGAGAGGGGGUGAGAGGCACUCCCAAGGCACGAUUCCAGUUAGGCUGGUCUUUUGAGGAGGGAUGAUAUCAAGGCACACUACUGGGAAUUGGAGGACACGGGUCCAGAUUUCUAUACGGGAGGGCAGCAGUGGGGGAAUUUUUCGCAAAUGGGCGGCAAGGCGUGACGGGAGGCAAUACCGCGAGAGGGAGGGAAGGGCCCUUGGGUCGUUAACCGCUUUGUUAGGGAAGAAAAAUUUGACGUUACCUUAACGAAUAAGCCUCGGCUAACUCCGUGCCAGCAGCCGCGGUAAGACGGAGGAGGGCAAGCGUUAUCCGGAAUUAUUGGGCGUAAAGCGUCCGCAGGUGGCAUCUCAAGUCUGCUGUCAAAGCCCAGGGCUCAACUCUGGAUCGGCAGUGGAAACUGAGACGCUAGAGUACGGUAGGGGCAGAGGGAAUUCCCAGUGUAGCGGUGAAAUGCGUAGAUAUUGGGGAAGAACACCAGUAGCGAAAGCGCUCUGCUGGGCCGUAACUGAAGCUCAUGGACGAAAGCUAGGGGAGGGAAAGGGAUUAGAUACCCCUGUAGUCCUAGCCGUAAACGAUGGACACUAGGUGUUGCGCGUAUCGACCCGUGCAGUGCCGUAGCCAACGCGUUAAGUGUCCCGCCUGGGGAGUACGCUCGCAAGAGUGA
rnacentral:rRNA from 1 species